GGACUGGUAGUUCAGCGGUAGAACACCUGUCGUCGUUCAUAGCAUUGAGCCUUCGGCUCCCGGGUCUUCGACUCAACUCCUCCGAUGAGCGGCGACAGGAGACCUGGCGUUCGAUUCCCAGCUGGUCCA